rnacentral:rRNA from 1 species
AACGAACGCUGGCGGCAUGCCUAACACAUGCAAGUCGAACGAGACCUUCGGGUCUAGUGGCGCACGGGUGCGUAACGCGUGGGAACCUGCCCUUAGGUUCGGAAUAACUCCCCGAAAGGGGUGCUAAUACCGGAUAAUGUCUUCGGACCAAAGAUUUAUCGCCUUUGGAUGGGCCCGCGUUGGAUUAGCUAGUUGGUAGGGUAAAAGCCUACCAAGGCGACGAUCCAUAGCUGGUCUGAGAGGAUGAUCAGCCACACUGGGACUGAGACACGGCCCAGACUCCUACGGGAGGCAGCAGUGGGGAAUAUUGGACAAUGGGCGAAAGCCUGAUCCAGCAAUGCCGCGUGAGUGAUGAAGGCCUUAGGGUUGUAAAGCUCUUUUACCCGGGAUGAUAAUGACAGGACCGGGAGAAUAAGCGCCGGCUAACUCCGU